AUGUAAUUGAAUUAAUUUUUAUAUGUAUAUAUAGGGGAUGGAUGUUGUUUAAGUUAGAAACUAUGUAUAUAACAAUUGAAUACAGAAAGAACAAAAAUAAAAUUAAAAGUAUGAUACGGAGGAAAGAGGAACAGGUCUAUAUAGUGUAAAAUUAAAAGUAUGAUACAGAACAAAAAGUUGUAACUUGUAUGGUUAUAAACAGGUCUAUAGAGUGUACUUUGAAGAACACAGAGGAAAGAAAACAUUUAAUGAGAUUGAAGAAACUCACCAUUCUUAUCUGUUCUUUAUGAAAGAAUCCGAGGAAGAAACUAAGUCUUCUCUUCUUUACAAUUACAAGAACAGUAUCAAUGGCUUCACAGCAGUGCUCACUCGCCAUGAAGCAUCAAAACUAUCUGAAUAGGAGGAAAUGGUGUCUGUGUUUUGAAGUAAGCCAGGAAAGUACUCUUUGCAGACUAUAAGAUCAUGGGAAUUUGUAGGUUUAGAAGAGGGAGAGAAGUCAAACAAAUUGAAGAAAGAUGACUUCUGGUUCAAAGCCAGAUAUGGCAAAGAAGUCAUUGUUGGCCUCUUGGAUAGUGGGCACUCUAGUGAAUAUCAUUGUAGGUUCUCAUGUUUGGGUUGAAGAUCCAGAUGAAGCUUGGGUUGAUGGACAAGUGUCAAAUAUUAACGAAUAGGAAGUUGAGAUCCAUACCCGUAAUGAGAAGACGGCAAAAAUAUUACAUCAACUGGACAUUAGUUAUUGCAUCAAGUGAUGCAUUUUUGGAAACUGAAGUUCAUAGUUCUGCCUGCAUAACCUAGUUCCAAAAAAUUUUUUGCUGAUCAAAUUUUAGACUUUAAUUUUAUCAAAUUUUUUUUUAAGUUUGGGAAUUUCUGUUUUGAUUGGAAAUUUGAGAAAACAAGUCUAAACUAACUGGUGGUCCUGCAGCUUUGCUUGAAUUCAAUGCUCCUCCAUAACAUAUGUAAUCAAAUCAUGUAUGUUGCUUUAUUUUUGUUACCGGUGGAAAAUGUUUCUUCAUAUUAGGAGGUGUAAUUCAGGUGCGAAGAGGAUUUUUAUGUCCUAAUCUGAUAUUAUCAUUAGUUUAUAUCAUUAGUUAUUUAAUGUUCAUGUUGGUGAGAGAAAGCAAUGAAUUAAUGCAGCUAUGGGCGACUCUGUCAUAAUAUUAUCUCCUAAUCUGACAUUAUCACAGACUUAUUCUGGAAUUAUUCUUAUCGCCAUUAAUCCAUUCCAAAGACUUCCUCAUAUGUAUGAUGAUCACAUGAGGGAUGAUUUAACUCUAGCAACAAGUUCUAGAAGUAAGAUGCAUGAUCUAACUCUAGUUUCAUGCUUUAUUAUUGUUUAACUCGUCAAUUGGGCUAGUGCUGGUAAGGAUCAUGUAAAGUUCUUGAGGCUACCGUUUGAAGUGCGAAUUCUGCAACAGGGGCUAUAUAUCCAAGACAGAUACAUAGAAUUGAUGCCAUGUUAUGGCCAUCUUCAAAAUAGGUGUGAUGGUACUCUGAAUGUGGACACCAAAUGCAACACAAAAUAUUAUCAAUGUCCUUUGUAUUGACAUCAUGCUUCCGUUGGAGGUGCACUUGUGAUUAUCAUGGCUUACAUACAUUUCUUACUUCAAAAUUAACGUCAAAUUAAUAGAAUUUAGAGUUGUAUUAUUCAUUUUGUUUUUGUCCACAUUUCAAUUAGCAUUUUUGAUAGAUGGACUUACAUUAGUAAAAGGAGAAAACAUAUGUACAAGGAGCCAUAUUGCCAUAAUGCCAUCCGUGUGAGCUAGAGGGUCAAUCAACAUCAUAGCCUAAGCCUAUAGCAAAAUAAUGAGAUCCAAGCUCUACAAGAGAUAAAUAAAUGAACACUUCUAAAAUAAGUAUUAUUUCAGGAACUGAUCUGGUCUUCACAUUGCCCUCGCUUAGAUUAUAUGAGGAAUUUGUCACAUUUCAGUCUGGACUGUUAUGUGGCUUUGAGAGGCCCUUUUCAAGAAAAUAUGACAUUGGAAAUUCUGUACCCCACAAAGCCAACGACUAAUGAACUUUCAUGAUGCAUUUCCUUUACUUUUUGCAAUCCUCUAUCUGCUAUUCUUCUUAAUAGAAAUUUCCUCAUAGUAUGAAAGGGGUAAUACAUAAGGAGAGAAUUGGCAAAUUCAGAAUCUUGCUUAUUAGGUGGAGGAUGUUGGAUGGAAUUAGUUUGUUUCCUCAACAUCAGACAUGCAUUGCGUGGAAUCUUUUAAUGUACUCGGAUUUCUUUCUGGAAAUAAUUCUGAAAGCAGAUGAUGCAGGAUGCAAACCUGCCAACUUGAGAUUUUGUGUUUCUGAAAUCGUCUUUAACUUCUUAAUAUUCAUAUGCAUGAUGUGAUUUACAGAAAAUUUAUGGUUUCUUUAUGGAUAUCUUUUGUGGAUUUGUAAUUGAUAUACUCGUCUAUCAAAUGCAGUCAAAUCUAGUUCUUGAAGCAUUUGGCAAUGCAAAAACUGUUCGAAAUAACAAUUCUAGCCGCUUUGGUAAAUUUGUUGAGCUUCAAUUUGAUAAGCAUGGAAAAAUUUCAGGAGCAACCAUUAGAACUUACCUUCUUGAGAGAUCUCGUGUUUGCCAAAUUUCAAACACAGAACACAACUAUCAUUGCUUUUACCUUCUUUGUGCAAUACCACUAGAGAUUGGCAAUGGUGGAAAAAAGUUCGUGCUGCAUCAGAAGAUUUGAUUUUUGUGUUUUUUGAAAUAUUUUGACAUAAGAUUUUGGUAAAUGAUUGAUGGAUUAAAUGUUUAGCAUCAAAAUAUUUGGUUUUGUAUUUUUGAAAAUAUUUUGACAUAGGAUUUGGUAAUGUAUUUAUGGGUUUGAUGUUAGUAGUUUGUAAGUACUUUGGAAUGUAUGUUUUAGAU